AGUGAACGCUGGCGGCAGGCCUAACACAUGCAAGUCGAACGGCAGCACGGCAGUAGCAAUACUGUGGGUGGCGAGUGGCGGACGGGUGAGGAAUACAUCGGGAUCUACCCUGUUGUGGGGGAUAACGUAGGGAAACUUACGCUAAUACCGCAUAAGAACUGAGGUUGAAAGCGGCGGACCGCAAGGCGUCGCGCGAUUGGAUGAACCGAUGUCCGAUUAGCUAGUUGGCGGGGUAAAGGCCCACCAAGGCGACGAUCGGUAGCUGGUCUGAGAGGACGACCAGCCACACUGGAACUGAGACACGGUCCAGACUCCUACGGGAGGCAGCAGUGGGGAAUAUUGGACAAUGGGCGCAAGCCUGAUCCAGCCAUGCCGCGUGGGUGAAGAAGGCCUUCGGUGUAAGCCUUGUCCGAAGAAAGACAUUCGGUUAAUACCGGUAGUUCUGACGGUACCGGAA
rnacentral:rRNA from 1 species